rnacentral:rRNA from 1 species
AUAGUGGGCGAAUUAGUGGGACCACCACAGUUAAUGUGGAGGAAGGAAGGGCCACGGCAGGUCAGAUGCCCCGAAACUCUGGGGCCACACGCGGGCUGCAAUGGUAGUGACAAUGGGCUCCUAACUCGAAAGAGAGAGGCAAUCCACAAACACUACCACAGUUAUGACUGAGGGCUGUAACUCGCCCUCACGAAUAUGGAAUCCCUAGUAACUGCGUGUCAUUACCGCGCGGUGAAUACGUCCCUGCUCCUU